AGUCUACAGAGUAAGUUACAAGCCCAUGGCUGUGUGGUUCUGGUUCCAGCCUUUUGGAUACCAAUCACUUCAUCACUACUCCAUGUGCUAAUAUUGAAAAGAAAGAAAAAAUUGAAGUAAGCAAAGGCAAAAAUAAAAAGAAGCAGAGAGUUUUUUCCUAGUGGUAUAGACAAAAGAGCCCUGGUGACGCCCAUCUUCUAACAAGCCAUAUGUGAAAAUGCACCUGUCAAUGUGACUACAUUUAGAAACCCGGAUGUGUCGGUAUAGACACCACUGGCAACGCCUACGCAAAGGUAUUAGUAACGCCACGAUAAUCACUGCAGAAGACCUCUCCGUAAACACACAGCUGCCUGGAGUUGGCACAGAAGAGUUGAGGACUCCAAAGAG